rnacentral:RNase_P_RNA from 3 species
AAAGUCAGCCAAACAGUCGCUCAGUGAGUAAAUCUGAGAGGAAAGUCCGGGCUCCAUAGGACAGAGUGCCAGGUAACUCCUGGGAGGUGCAAACCUACGGAGAGUGCAAUAGAAAGUAUACCGCUGCUUAUUUCAGUAUAGUAAGAAAGCAGUAAGGGUGAAAUGGUGUGGUAAGGGCACACCGCGUAUCUGGUGACAGAAACGGCGAUGGUAAACCCCACUCGGAGCAAAGCUAAAUAGAAACCUUGUGUGGUCCGCACGCUGGUUUGGGUAAGCUGCUUGAGGUGUGUGGUGACACGCACCCUAGAUAGAUGACUGUUCACGACAGAACCCGGCUUAUCGGCUGACUUUUGUC